rnacentral:rRNA from 1 species
AACGAACGCUGGCGGCAGGCUUAACACAUGCAAGUCGAACGGGUGUAGCAAUACAUCAGUGGCAGACGGGUGAGUAACACGUGGGAACCUUCCUAGGGGUACGGAACAACUCAGGGAAACUUGAGCUAAUACCGUAUACGUCCGUGAGGAGAAAGAUUUAUCGCCCUUAGACGGGCCCGCGUCGGAUUAGCUAGUUGGUGGGGUAACGGCCUACCAAGGCGACGAUCCGUAGCUGAUCUUAGAGGAUGAUUAGCCACACUGGGACUGAGACACGGCCCAGACUCCUACGGGAGGCAGCAGUGGGGAAUCUUGGACAAUGGGCGCAAGCCUGAUCCAGCCAUGCCGCGUGAGUGAAGAAGGUCUUCGGAUUGUAAAGCUCUUUUGCCAGGGACGAUAAUGACGGUACCUGGAGAAUAAGCCCCGGCAAACUUCGUGCCAGCAGCCGCCGUAC